UACGAAGGGGGCUAGCGUUGCUCGGAAUCACUGGGCGUAAAGCGCACGUAGGCGGCUUCUUAAGUCAGGGGUGAAAUCCUGGAGCUCAACUCCAGAACUGCCUUUGAUACUGGGAGGCUCGAGUCCGGAAGAGGUGAGUGGAACUGCGAGUGUAGAGGUGAAAUUCGUAGAUAUUCGCAAGAACACCAGUGGCGAAGGCGGCUCACUGGUCCGGUACUGACGCUGAGGCACGAAAGCGUGGGGAGCAAACAGGG
rnacentral:rRNA from 1 species